rnacentral:ncRNA from 1 species
CAUCGUGAGGUGGAAUCUGAAGGAAGUCAGCGGCAAAGCUUUGGUCUGAGGUACACGAAUCACAUUUGAGGCUGAUGUCUAUGGGUAAACUUGCUAAACAAAGUGAAGCCCUAUAACUAUCCGAAAAUAGACAGAGUAAAUGUGGCAGAUAUAUGAAGCGAAAGUG